CAGCAGCCGCGGUAAUACGAAGGGUGCAAGCGUUACUCGGAAUUACUGGGCGUAAAGCGUGUGUAGGUGGUUGUUUAAGUCUGUCGUGAAAGCCCUGGGCUCAACCUGGGAAUUGCGAUGGAUACUGGGCGACUAGAGUGCGGUAGAGGAUAGUGGAAUUUCCGGUGUAGCAGUGAAAUGCGUAGAGAUCGGAAGGAACAUCUGUGGCGAAGGCGACUAUCUGGGCCAACACUGACACUGAGACACGAAAGCGUGGGGAGCAAACAGGAUUAGAGACCCCUGUAGUCCCUGUCUCUUAUAC
rnacentral:rRNA from 1 species